AAUCUUUUAGCUUAUUUUAAAGUACUUUACUGAAGAUAAAGAGAACUAAAUACGUU
rnacentral:tRNA from 1 species